AGAGUUUGAUCAUGGCUCAGGACGAACGCUGGCGGCGUGCUUAACACAUGCAAGUCGAACGAUGAAGCGGUGCUUGCACCGUGGAUUAGUGGCGAACGGGUGAGUAACACGUGAGUAACCUGCCCUUCACUCUGGGAUAACUCCGGGAAACCGGUGCUAAUACUGGAUACGACCUCAACCUGCAUGGGUAUGGGGUGGAAAGCUUUUGUGGUGGAGGAUGGACUCGCGGCCUAUCAGCUUGUUGGUGGGGUAAUGGCCUACC
rnacentral:rRNA from 1 species